rnacentral:rRNA from 1 species
UACGUAGGUGCAAGCGUUGUUCGGAUUUAUUGGGCGUAAAGCGCGCGUAGGCGGACCUGCAAGUCAGAUGUGAAAUCUCGAGGCUCAACCUCGAAACUGCGUCUGAAACUACAGGUCUAGAAUCUCGGAGGGGGAAGGGGAAUUUCGCAUGUAGGGGUAAAAUCCGUAGAUAUGCGAAGGAACACCAGAGGCGAAGGCGCCUUCCUGGACGAGUAUUGACGCUGAGGCGCGAAAGCUAGGGGAGCAAACAGG